AAUGAGGACAGAGGCAAGCAUUGUUGUUAUAGACCCUGCCUUGCUCAACACCUGCGCUGGGCUAUGCUUUCCGUUCCAGUCACCUGGGGACACGACGAGUCCAGCAAAACUUGGAAGCUGGGGCAUGAUGCGAGUGAUCCAUAUGUGAGAAAGGCGCAGCACAAAAGUCUUUGAAGAAAGAAAAAAAGGAAAAAGAAAGAAAAACCUCUUUGUGAGAAGGGGCGCAGAAGAGAACCGUGACAGAGUGACAGAGGCUUGCUGCGGAGUCACUGCAAUAAGCCAGGAUUCUUUGUGAUUACUGAAGUCUUGGCAAUUUCAAGGUCUACUUUCUGACACUCAUGGAUUGAGUUUUGCAGCCGUUAAAGUCUAUGCUUCAUCAAGUGGUAGAGGGCACAUGGCUGUCUGGGUAAAUUUCCAGCUCCUUGAGAGGGAUGAACAAGCAAGAGUUUUGCUCCCACAUUCUUUCUGAGGGGCAGAGCAACCGGACAACGUCAGGUGAGGAGUCUGUCAGACAAGGGCCCAUCAACGCCUUGUUCAACCCAUAUGGCAAAGCUAGAAUGCAGUCGUUAUUGUCUCCACCGUAGACAUCUGAGACAUGAGAUUCAUAGGCGAUAAAGGACCUCCCUUACAGCCCACUGUUACCCAGUGGGUCACAAACCUAACUGAAUGUGGAGAUCAUGGAAAAUGUGGUAACACUGAAAAUUUUCUGACUAUAAAAUGACUGACAAUUCAUUCAAGACCAAGUGAGCAUUGAGUUGGGAGAGUUGCUGGCAGCGCUUGUCAGGGUGACAUCAUGCCACUCCACUGAUGCUGGGUCUGGACACACAAGGACAAAUGCUGUCAUGCCACCCAGCAUCAAGAAGACUGCCUGAAAUGCACUGGCUCAGAUUCAAGACUAUUGUAUGAUCUGAAUUAAAGUGCAUUUACUGUA